AGGAAAAGAAACCAACCGGGAUUGCCUUAGUAACGGCGAGUGAAGCGGCAAAAGCUCAAAUUUGAAAUCUGGUACCUUCGGUGCCCGAGUUGUAAUUUGGAGAGGGCAACUUUGGGGCCGUUCCUUGUCUAUGUUCCUUGGAACAGGACGUCAUAGAGGGUGAGAAUCCCGUGUGGCGAGGAGUGCGGUUCUUUGUAAAGUGCCUUCGAAGAGUCGAGUUGUUUGGGAAUGCAGCUCUAAGUGGGUGGUAAAUUCCAUCUAAAGCUAAAUAUUGGCGAGAGACCGAUAGCGAACAAGUACAGUGAUGGAAAGAUGAAAAGAACUUUGAAAAGAGAGUGAAAAAGUACGUGAAAUUGUUGAAAGGGAAGGGCAUUUGAUCAGACAUGGUGUUUUGUGCCCUCUGCUCCUUGUGGGUAGGGGAAUCUCGCAUUUCACUGGGCCAGCAUCAGUUUUGGUGGCAGGAUAAAUCCAUAGGAAUGUAGCUUGCCUCGGUAAGUAUUAUAGCCUGUGGGAAUACUGCCAGCUGGGACUGAGGACUGCGACGUAAGUCAAGGAUGCUGGCAUAAUGGUUAUAUGCCGCCCGUCUUGAAACCACGGACCA
rnacentral:rRNA from 1 species